rnacentral:rRNA from 1 species
GACGAACGCUGGCGGCGUGCUUAACACAUGCAAGUCGAACGGAAGGGCCCUGCUUUUGUGGGGUGCUCGAGCGGCGAACGGGUGAGUAACACGUGAGUAACCUGCCCUUGACUUUGGGAUAACUUCAGGAAACUGGGGCUAAUACCGGAUAGGAGCUCCUGCUGCAUGGUGGGGGUUGGAAAGUUUCGGCGGUUGGGGAUGGACUCGCGGCUUAUCAGCUUGUUGGUGGGGUAGUGGCUUACCAAGGCUUUGACGGGUAGCCGGCCUGAGAGGGUGACCGGCCACAUUGGGACUGAGAUACGGCCCAGACUCCUACGGGAGGCAGCAGUGGGGAAUAUUGCACAAUGGGCGGAAGCCUGAUGCAGCAACGCCGCGUGCGGGAUGACGGCCUUCGGGUUGUAAACCGCUUUCGCCUGUGACGAAGCGUGAGUGACGGUAAUGGGUAAAGAAGCACCGGCUAACUACGUG